GACGAACGCUGGCGGCGUGCUUAACACAUGCAAGUCGAACGCUGAAGCCCUUCGGGGUGGAUGAGUGGCGAACGGGUGAGUAACACGUGGGUAAUCUGCCCUGCACUCUGGGAUAAGCCUUGGAAACGGGGUCUAAUACCGGAUAGGACACAUCGCCGCAUGGUGUGUGUGUGGAAAGUUCCGGCGGUGCAGGUUGAGCCCGCGGCCGAUCAGCUUGUUGGUGGGGUGAUGGCCUACCAAGGGGACGACGGGUAGCCGGCCUGAGAGGGUGACCGGCCACACUGGGACUGAGACACGGCCCAGACUCCUACGGGAGGCAGCAGUGGGGAAUCUUGCGCAAUGGGCGAAAGCCUGACGCAGCAACGCCGCGUGGGGGAUGACGGCCUUCGGGUUGUAAACCUCUUUCGACCGGGACGAAGGAUUCGUUUAACGGUACCGGUAGAAGAAGCACCGGCUAACUACGUGCCAGCCGCCGCCGUAACAC
rnacentral:rRNA from 1 species